rnacentral:rRNA from 1 species
CAGUAGCCGCGGGAAUACGUAGGGCGCAAGCGUUAUCCGGAAUUAUUGGGCGUAAAGAGCUCGUAGGCGGUUUGUCGCGUCUGCCGUGAAAGUCCGGGGCUCAACCCCGGAUCUGCGGUGGGUACGGGCAGACUAGAGUGAUGUAGGGGAGACUGGAAUUCCUGGUGUAGCGGUGAAAUGCGCAGAUAUCAGGAGGAACACCGAUGGCGAAGGCAGGUCUCUGGGCAUUAACUGACGCUGAGGAGCGAAAGCAUGGGGAGCGAACAGGAUUAGAUACCCCUGUAGUCCCUGUCUCUUAUAU